rnacentral:rRNA from 1 species
CAGUGAUGAUGGCAAAGAGGCCACACCCGUUCCCAUCCCGAACACGGAAGUUAAGCUCUUUUGCGCCGAUGGUAGUUGGGGGUCUCCCCCUGUGAGAGUAGGACGUCGCUGGGCC